GACAUCCAUACCAGACUGAAUGCACCUGAUCUUAUCUGAUCUUGGAAAUUAAAGAGUACCAGGCCUGGCUAGUACUUGGAUGGAGACAAACUGCGAAUCCCAGUUGCUAUAGGCA
ensembl:rRNA 5S_rRNA 5S ribosomal RNA